AUGACUUUUAAUAACUAUCAAUCUUAUCUUUUAGGAGUUUCAUGCAUUGCUUUGGUCUUAGUUUCAGGAUUGGUUAAUGGUUUGAAGACUCCAACAGUUGAGCUACGCAAAGCAUCCUGCUUUAUAGGGGUGCCCGGUAAAUUAAGCUUAUGUUGUUUUGAGGAUUGUUCUCCAAAUUGCCGUCAAAACUGUAUAAACGCUGGAUUUAAAUUAGGUGGAGUGUGUGUUGAUAUAGCUAUUGGACAAAAAUGUUGUUGUUAUAAGUAA